rnacentral:rRNA from 1 species
AUGAGCAUCCCUGAAGGCCCCCUCGUCGAGAUCCUCUCGCGGGUGCCCUACAAGUCACUCUGCCGCUUCAAGUGCGUGUCCAAGCCGUGGUUCGCCCUCUGCUCCGACCGAGAAAUCCUCAAGAAGUCGCCGCAGAGCCUAGCCGGAUUCUUUCUCAACUUCGGAGGUAACAUCUGUGUCCGUAAUUUAUCUGGGCGAGGCCCGCCUCUGGUCGACCUCAAUCUCCAGUUCCUGCGCGAGAACUACAAACGCGUGUGGCUUGAACAAUGCUGCGGCGGCCUUCUCCUUUGCGACUGCGCGAAAUCCCGUUCCCUCGGAGGCGGAGGCGGAGGCGGACAUGACUAUGUUGUGUGCAAUCCUGCAACUAAGGAGUGGACUGUGCUGCCUCAUAUACAAUUUUUGGUUCAAGGCAUCGUCAAUGUCGGACCACUCAUUUACUUGGGCUUCGAUGCGGCCGUUCCCUCCCGCUUUGUGGCGUUUGCCCUGUCUGCACCCGAGGCACCAAACCACGGACAAGUGUCUAUCUACUCAUCAGAAACUGGGCGGUGGACUUCUGUUCAGAGUAAGUGGGCCUCUGGAACCACUGUGAAUAGACAUGCAGGGUAUGUGUUUCUGAAUGGCGCUAUGCAUUUGACUACCUUUAGUAACUCAAUAGUCACGGUCGACGCGGAGGGGAAAGUUUGGAGGGAGAUUGAAAUGCCAGAUGACUUGCCAACCCUGUUUACACAUUAUUCCAUUGGCCAGUCUCAGGGGCUCUUGUAUGCUUGGAGGAUUGAGAAUGUUGAUGAUUACCAACUCUAUAUUUGGGUUCUAGAGGAUUACAUUAAUGGAAAGUGGGCACUAAAGCAUACAAUGAGCGUUUUAAAAUUGUUCACAAGGCAUCACAAAGGAUACUCCUAUUCCUAUACCAUGUUUGCAGUCCAUCCAGAUUGUAAUGUGAUUUUCGUUACCAACAAACAGAAGUUAAUAAUGUCGUACAAUAUGGAUAAUCAGAAAGUGCGUGUCUUCUCCACUUCUACACAAUCCAGGUUUGGUCUACCUUACAUUCCCUGUUUUGCAGAAUGGCCGUCAGCUGGUCAGUGA